rnacentral:lncRNA from 1 species
UGGGUCCACGUGGACUCUGAAGGACAGCGCUGGUUCUGCGACAGAUAAUGAAGGAAUCUGAAGAAGUGGGGGCCGGCGGAAGGGACACCCCGGAGUUCCCGGAAGUGGGAGGAAAUGACCCCGGAGCUCCGGGAAGUAGGAGGAAAUGAGAGGAGUUGAAGAUGUUAACCUGGAGGGGAAGGAGUCAGGCUAGAGGGAGCUCCGGAGAAGGUGUCCCGAGAGCAUCUGCAGAGGCCUCUGAAUCGCCCUCGCUCCGUGGAAAGCUUGUGUUCUGGGCCAAGAUGGGAUGUCUGGGACUGGGAUUCAGGACCAGGCCCUGCAAGGCCCUGCUGUGCAGUGCCCAGCACCGCCCGGUCCACGGAAGACCUUCAAUAAAGCUGUUGAGAAGCUUCAAGAACUAAUGGACAGACUAGAGAAGCGGGUUUGGAAAACAGAAGGACUCACUCAUGUGCAAAGAUAACACAAAAAGAUGUCCAUUGAAGCUUUGAUUGUGAUAGAAAACAAAGUGGGAAUGCUGAAAUGUCCAUCAAUCGGGUCAAACACAUUACAGCGCAUCUCUACAAGGUAACACAAUGCAGCAAUGAGCAACAAUGCUACCGAUUACCGCAAACCAACGUGGCAAGAUGCCCCAAAUAUACUGUUGAGAGAAAAAAUCAAAUUGCAAAAGAGCAUUAUAGCUUUAUUUCACAAAUAGAUAAUUCAAUAAAUAUUUGUCUACUAU